rnacentral:rRNA from 1 species
GUCCACGCCCUAAACGAUGUCGACUAGUUGUCGGGCCUUUACAGGCUCGGUAACGCAGCUAACGCGUGAAGUCGACCGCCUGGGGAGUACGGUCGCAAGAUUAAAACUCAAAGGAAUUGACGGGGACCCGCACAAGCGGUGGAUGAUGUGGAUUAAUUCGAUGCAACGCGAAAACCUUACCUACACUUGACAUGCCCGGAAUCUCGCAGAGAUGUGAGAGUGCCCGAAAGGGAGCCGGGACACAGGUGCUGCAUGGCUGUCGU